rnacentral:rRNA from 1 species
UACGUAGGUGGCAAGCGUUGUCCGGAAUUAUUGGGCGUAAAGCGCGCGCAGGCGGUCUUUUAAGUCUGAUGUGAAAGCCCACGGCUUAACCGUGGAGGGUCAUUGGAAACUGGGGGACUUGAGUGCAGAAGAGAAGAGUGGAAUUCCACGUGUAGCGGUGAAAUGCGUAGAGAUGUGGAGGAACACCAGUGGCGAAGGCGACUCUUUGGUCUGUAACUGACGCUGAGGCGCGAAAGCGUGGGGAGCAAACAGG